AUUGAACGCUGGCGGCAUGCUUUACACAUGCAAGUCGAACGGUAACAGGGUGCCUGCACCGCUGACGAGUGGCGAACGGGUGAGUAAUGCGUCGGAACGUGCCGAGUAGUGGGGGAUAACGCAGCGAAAGUUGUGCUAAUACCGCAUACGUACUGAGGUAGAAAGUGGGGGACCUUCGGGCCUCACGCUAUUCGAGCGGCCGACGUCUGAUUAGCUAGUAGGUGAGGUAAAGGCUCAACUAGGCGACGAUCAGUAGCGGGUCUGAGAGGAUGAUCCGCACCACUGGGACUGAGACACGGCCCAGACUCCUACGGGAGGCAGCAGUGGGGAAUUUUGGACAAUGGGCGAAAGCCUGAUCCAGCCAUGCCGCGUGUCUGAAGAAGGCCUUCGGGUUGUAAAGGACUUUUGUCGGGGAGGAAAUCCCCAGCGCUAAUACCGCUGGGAUGACAGUACCUGAAGAAUAAGCACCGGCUAACUACGUGCCAGCCGCCGCAGUAAUAC
rnacentral:rRNA from 1 species